CUACCGUUACAUAUAUUUAUUAUAUCGUAUUGUUUACGCAGAUUAUUUAGAGAUGGGCAAUUUUGGAAAAGAUGGAGUACGGAAAAAUCUUCGGAUUGUCAUAAUUGGCAAGAUUAUAGUCCAUAUUAUCCGCAAUUCUUGCAUCGAAAUCGCCCAAAAUUACGGAAUAAGGAGUCAUAUUUUGCCAGAUCUCCAUUUGUUUAGUUAUUUCGUUCAAAGCUAUUAUGUCGUCGGGUGGAAUAUAGGUAUCCAAGAUGACGGCGCUUCCUGUAGCCUCGAACAAGAUCGCUCCGCGACGAUUGACGUAGAGGGAGCUGUUUACAUAUUUGUGACGAAUUAAUUAAUUAUGUAAAUUAUCGAAGGAUAACGUGUUUGCGGGUGCGUUUGGUGGCGACGCGAAAACGAAAGGAGUUAUUACGAAUUUUCAAAGUCGAGGUUUUUAUAAUAAGGUUUACUUUUUUGUGUUUUUCUCUCGUUGUUAAUUUGCUAAUAAUAAGAAUAAUAAUGGGAAAUUUAGAAAUUAACUGUGAAUGUUUUUGGUUAAAAUGCGCAAGUAGGCAAUUUUAUAAACUUUUAGAAGCGGAAUAUGAUGUAAAUUUAGGUUUAGAUACCAGAAUUGGUAGUAGCGACUUCGAGUUUGCCGUAAGUUUGGGCAUUCGGCACGUCGAGGACGUUUGUCAAAUAUGUUCGAACAAGUGUAAAAUAAGGUACAGAUGCGAUAGGAAAUCGUGUGUUAUGAAGUGCGAAAAAUGUCGGCGGAACAACAAUUCGGCCACCUUUAAAGGAAAAUGCGGCAAAAUUUCUUGGGCGGCGAUAUUGUCGUUUUUAUGGCACUACGUUCCGGAAAAAUAGCAACGCGGAAAGAACCCGAGAGUGUACCCGCCGCUCCAGUUUCGAAAACGAGAAGAAAGCAAAAAAAAAAAAAAUGGAAACAAAGUCAAGGCAACAGAUGAAAUCAAACGUCGUCGCAAAAAAACAGAAUCCAGCGAACAAAAUAGAAAAGCCCGUGCGUUACCCUUGAAGUAAUUACGAAAGUUGCCACAAGGGUAAACUGAUCGAAUCGGAUAGACAUAUUAUCACUUGUGACGUAAUGAAUCUUGAAAUGCUUUGAAUCUUAUUGGUUCUGUAGGAUACAGAAAAACCUGUUAUAAAUGGGUGAAGUCAACUAAUAAGGGUGGACCAUUUCUGUUUUAACCUGUUAUAAAAUAUGGAUUCUUUUCCACCCUUCUUCCGAACGUCGAUCGAUGGAAUGUAUUCAUAAAUAGUCGCUAGUCACGGAGGAACCCAAAUUUACAAAGUUAAAUGACAAACUCGUGAUCACUGCCUUUUGGAAUCAGGGUGUAAAUUACUUUGAUACCCUAGAAAAAAAUGCUAUCAUUUUACGUACAUCUUUAGAAAACCAAUAAAGACAAAGAUGCCAAACAUUACAGAGGAAAGAGAUCGAGAUUCACCAAGACAUGAGAUUUCACACUCUUGCUAGGACUUUAAUACUUCAUCCCUGGUUUUACACCCUCAGAUUGAAGUUCUCUUUGGCAGAAACCGAGUGAAACUCUCUUGUAUGAGACUAAAGGAUGGCUAAAAGGUCGAGAAGACGAGUUUUUACCAAAAUGUCUCCAUAGCCCGGAAAGAGUAAAUGGAGAAAAUAUAUUUUAUAAGGGGUAAUGUUUCAAUGAUCACUGCGUUUGACUGUUACACAUACCAGAUUUGGUUGGUCUGUAUAUUAAACAAACCCAUUUAUCACCGAUCGCGUAUUACUUAUUGACUCAACCUCCUAUAAGAUUUGGAUUCAGCUUUGUUAAUACGAGAUAUCACCAUAGUUUGCAUACAAUACAACGAACCAAUGAAGAGUUCGG